GACUUGUGGUAUUUGUGGGAGAUUUUCAUAGGUGGCGUGCUGAAUUUCUUGAGCGACUUGUAGUAUUUGUGCGAGAUGUUCAUAGGUGGCGUGCAGAAUUUCUUGACCGACAUGUAGUAUUUGUGCGAGAUGGUCAUAGGUGGCAUGCUGAAUUUCUUGAGCGACUUGUAGUAUUGGAAGAUGUUCAUAGGUGGCGUGCUGAAUUUCUUGAGCGACUUGUAGUAUUUGUGGGAGAUGUUUAUAGGUGGCGUGCUGAAUUUCUUGAGCGACUUGUAGUAUUUGUAGGAGAUGUUCAUAGGUGGCGUGCUGAAUCUUGAGCGACUUGUAGUAUUUGUGGGAGAUGUUCAUAGGUGG